UAUGGCCAUACCGUGUUGAAACACCAAUUCUUAUCCAAUCACCAAAGUUAAGCAAUGUUGAGCCUUAUCAGUACCUAGAUGGGUGACUGCUUAGGAAUAACAGGUGCUGG